UAGGCAGGUACAGCGGGAAGCCACCUGGCGACAGGGAGCGGAACCCGAAAGCCUGUCUCAGUUCGGAUUGGAGUCUGCAACCCGACUCCGUGAAGCUGGAUUCGCUAGUAAUCGCGCAUCAGCCAUGGCGCGGUGAAUACGUUCCCGGGCCUUGUACACACCGCCCGUCAAGCCAUGGGAGCCGGGGGUGCUUGAAGUGCGUCGCCGCAAGGCGCGCCCUAGAGCAAAACCGGUGACUGGGGCUAAGUCGUAACAAGGUAAC
rnacentral:rRNA from 1 species